GCCUUGCUCUCUUGUAUAUAUGGACAUAUAUAGCCUACUAGAAAAGAAAGACACUGAAUGAAUUGGACUCUAAAAUCUAGAAACUAUAAAGAUAAUUAAGUGAUAAAUUCCAUGCCCACUGUAAACAUGAAUCAGAGUAUGUACGUCAGUUAUUUCCUCCCCAGC